rnacentral:sRNA from 1 species
UAUAUGGCAACUAACCAGUCAUUCUCCCUCUUCCUCUCAGGCGGGCAGGGCUGGGCAGCGGCCUGAGUCUCAGUGGACUUGUCCACCCGGAGUUGAGUCGGAGCGGCGAGCUGGCAGUACAGGCUCUGGAGCAGUUUGCCACUGUGGUGGAGGCCAAGCUGAUAAAACACAAGAAGGGGAUUGUCAGUGAGUGAGCCCUACACCCUUCCGCCCCUCCCUUUCCUCUCCUUGAAACUAACGCCCCCACCCCCACCCCACCUACCCAACAGAUGAACAGUUUCUGCUGCA